rnacentral:lncRNA from 1 species
GAACGUGCACUUGCAAAAAUGAGAAGUCCACACUGACCGGAGGCGGCUCCGGCGGGGACUCUCCGACGGUCAAGUCAGAGAGGUGACUGGGCAACAGUGAAAUGAAGACAGAGGGCUCAAUCGAGGGAGAGAGGGAGAGAGGUGCGAGCCUGUGGUCUCGAGGUCGAGAAGUGGAGAGCCCCUCGCACUGUUGCCUUCCCCAAUUUAUAUAGUGGAGCACG